ACUCUUGAUUGAGUUCAGCUGCACUGCACACACAAGCCUAUGGUUGAGAACUGCAAGGCAAAUGCAGAGAGGAAGCUAUUCUUUCUGGCUGCGUAAAGAAUUCUUGAGCAAGUAAAACUAUUUUUUUAUUCUUACAUCUUCUUUAACAAGUGGUGUGAGCACUUUUUUGUUGUAAUUUCCCAUCACAGGAGAACCCCUGUUAAGUUCUACUCCUUGUUUUGAGUAUAGAAAGAAAAAAAUCUUGUGGAAUUUGUUUUCUGAGAUGCACUCUGAACUCCUCCCAUCUGAAAUAAGCAUAACUAACCAGUGAGAAACUGCCCCACUGGGCCUUCUGAUUUGUAUUGCUGUGGUUGACUAAAGUCUUUAAAGACUUUUUCUAGCACAGGGGAGAUGUGAUAUAUUGAUUGAAUCUGAAAAUCCUCAGAUAUUAUCACUGCACUCCAUCUUGUGGAAGAGGCAACAAUAUAUUUUAAAAUGAUCCUGUAGUGGGAUUUUUGAGUAAUUAAACCCAACAAUGCCUGGUUCUUGCUGCCAAAGCAAGGAACUACCUACAGCAGUGGUUACAAGCAGUUGUUUAAUUCUCAAUCUGCCUAAUUGUACCCAGUGGAUUUGUAUAAAUGUCCCUUGGGUUUUAGGUAUGAGCUUCACAUCUCUUUGUUUAGGAAAGGAGCUUUAGGAAAGCAUCUGAAGAGUGAUUUGAAAGGAGAAACUAAAGCUUUCUAGAACUGCACCCUCUUGCAGUAGUAGCAGUGUGAUGUGGCAUGGAAGAGCAGUGCUAAAUGAAGCACUGGCCUUUUUAGUUUCAUUUACCAGAGAGGGGCUUGGACAACAAAGUGGUCAACUUGCUGAUUGCUGGUGUGCUUUACUGCUCCAAACUGUGCCAAAUCCAGUAAGGUAGAAUUGAUCAGCUUUAAGAAACGCCUCAGUGCAAAGAAAGCCUUGAAGAUGGAGCACCUCUUUCUGUCUACUUUUGUAACAGUGGAGACAGGUCUCAUUAAUUCUUGAGAUAAUACUAAGAGCAGGGUAUCUUUAUGGACUACAGUGUUUGUUAGCCUUUUCCAGACUCCUUGGUCAUUUUCGUAGGGCAAUGACUCAUCACUUCAUUACUGCACUGAUUACAUUAAGACGUUAGUAUCUUUACAAUACAAGUAACAUAAUGCUUAUGCUAAUUCACUUUAUGCGCAACUGUCAGAAUACUCGUCAACUGGAAGUAUCUUACAUGAGCAUUUCAGAAUUAUUUAGACUUUCCUGAUUAUUCAUAUUUAUGAUAUUUAACUCUAUUCAGUGAUGAUUUUGUGUAUAGCAUGUAAAAACUCAGAACAAAUUGUCAGAACUUUUUGUGCAACCAUUAGAUUUGUUUGAAGGGAAAUUAGAAUAUAACAUGACUGCUCUUCAGUUUUUGCUAGAAUCCAGCCUCACAGAUUUUUUACAGAAUAGGGCAAAGGCUAAUGUUGGGGUGGGGGUAGCAAGGAAGACUUACUCAAAAGGAAAAGUCUGCUUUUGUCGAAACAUUGAGUGUGGUUUUAAAAUGAUGCAGUUUUGUUUUUUUUUUCCUAACAGUAGCAAGAAGACAUGCAGAUGAACAGAACAAAAAUCAGAUGUUAAGCGAUUUUCUGUUUGCGCUUAUUUUACUAAGCAUAAGUACAAGUUAGUUAUAUAAAACCACAAAAGAGUCUUGAAUUUCAAAGUUGCCUCUGAACUCUGUGGUCUGAAGAAAAGGAAGGCUUCAGGAAUGUGGUUUCUAGUAUAUCCAACAUAACCCCCCCACACACCUCUUAUAAUCUUUUUUUGCCUCUUAUUUCUUUGUAAUUGAAUUAAUUUGAAGACAUGGGAAAACACAGCAGAGUAUAACUAUGAAGGGUCAGUACCAAGGUCUUACCUCAGUGGGGUUAUUCAUGUGCUUGAAUUUACACAAGUGCUGUGUUCUGCCCGCAUGUGGAAUGCAAGCAAGCUCACCCCAGUGACUGGAGGGAUUGAAGAAAGACUGGGUGAGUAAGGAUUAUAGUGAAAAAACAGACUGCUAUUUUGAAAUGGAAAUUUAUGACAUUUAGCUGAGAAUUGAUGCAGAAGGCUUGUGAACUGGAACUGAGUUUGAAAUGCAGCAUGAAAAUGCUUUCACACCUUUCUCUAGAAAAAUGAGGUUCUCUAGAGCUGUUUUUGCAGUGGAGUAAAUAACAACUAGUCAUUUCCUCACAGAUUCAGCACUUUGUAUUCUAUCCUGGUUUUGUUCUGAGAGGAAGAGAAAGAAGGAGAAAACAUUUGAACAAAAUUUGUGUCAAAGUAAAUAUGAGAUCAUUUAUUACGUAAUUUCAGGUAUUGACAUGCAUUUGGUGUCUCUUGUCUUCUCUUUUGGCCAUCUGACUGUUACCAGAGUUAUUCCUCUUUUACUUCUCAUAGGAAAACUGAAAAGAUGGUCAACAAACCUCAUAAAUCCACCUUCCUCUCAAAGGGUAUUUGCUGCUUCAGUUGCUAAUGUUUGCCUUUGAAGCAAGAUAAACCAAAGCUGUGUUGCAUCUGUGCGCAUCCACAUUGCCAUGGGGA